rnacentral:rRNA from 1 species
GUGAGGAAUAUUGGACAAUGGGCGCAAGCCUGAUCCAGCCAUGCCGCGUGCAGGAAGACGCAUCUAUGGUGUGUAAACUGCUUUUGUACGGGAAGAAACACUCCCUCGUGAGGGAGCUUGACGGUACCGUAAGAAUAAGGAUCGGCUAACUCCGUGCCAGCAGCCGCGGUAAUACGGAGGAUCCAAGCGUUAUCCGGAAUCAUUGGGUUUAAAGGGUCCGUAGGCGGUUUAAUAGUCAGUGGUGAAAGCCCAUCGCUCAACGAUGGAACGGCCAUUGAUACUGUUAGACUUGAAUUACAAGGAAGUAACUAGAAUAUGUAGUGUAGCGGUGAAAUGCUUAGAUAUUACAUGGAAUACCAAUUGCGAAGGCAGGUUACUACUUGUGGAUUGACGCUGAUGGACGAAAGCGUGGGGAGCGAACAGGAUUAGAAACCCCUGUAGUCC